GGGAGGCAGCAGUGGGGAAUCUUCCGCAAUGGGCGAAAGCCUGACGGAGCAAUGCCGCGUGAGCGAAGAAGGCCUUCGGGUCGUAAAGCUAUGUCCAGGGGGAAGAACAAAUGACGGUACCCCUGUACGAGCCCCGGCUAACUACGUGCCAGCAGCCGCGGUAACACGUAGGGGGCAAGCGUUGUCCGGAAUUACUGGGCGUAAAGCGCGCGUAGGCGGCCUCAUAAGUCAGUGGUGAAAACCGGCGGCUCAACCGCAGGCUUGCCUCUGAAACUGUAAGGCUUGAGGACAGGAGAGGAGAGUGGAAUUCCCAGUGUAGCGGUGAAAUGCGUAGAUAUUGGGAGGAACACCAGUGGCGAAGGCGACUCUCUGGCCUGCACCUGACGCUGAGGCGCGAAAGCGUGGGGAUCAAACAGGAUUAGAUACCCUGGUAGUCCACGCCGUAAACGAUGGGUGCUAGGUGUUGGGGGUGUAGAAUCCUCCCAGUGCCGUAGUAACGCGAUAA
rnacentral:rRNA from 1 species